UCAAAAUGUGCUCUGUACUUUUAUUUAUUUAUUUUAAACAUGUUAAACAUAAACCAUGUUUUAACUAGUGAUUAUUAAUGGUAAAAUUUUUCUAAAUCUGCUGUGUAAUCUUGUAUUAUUCAUCUUUAUACGCUCUUCUUCCUCUGCCUCUUCACUUUUUGCCGACGGAAAUCCUGUGAUGCAAUACAUUGAACGAAGCACUUGAAACAAAAAUUGUGAAAUUUAGUUGAUAUUUCGGUUCGAGAGAGAAUUCAAUCACGUGAAAAAUUAUCAUUACCGUGAGUCUGUACUAAAAUGAUUAACGGUAAGAAAGAUGCGUAUGAUAUACCCGUGGGAUAAGGAUUAAAACUCACGAUAUAGCCCUUGCAGGAAAAUAAACUUGAGGCAUAAGCAGUAAGGUUGAGCAUAAAAGUAUAAGACCAUUGUUUGCUUUAUAUACACUUUGUGAAGGAUUCUAUAUUUAGCUCACACACUUGGACAGUUAUCUCCCUGCAGAUUAGCACAUCUGUACUGCCAUAGGAAUCAAGAUCAUUCAAAAUUAUCCAGAUAACUGUGCUCGCUGCUCAGUACUGACGUUCCAUCAAGUCCAAUUCCAUUUUUCUAAAGAAAAGUGACGCACACAGUGCUUUAUAAAUGCAUAUAAGCGGAAAAAUUAAACUAUAUAUUAAUAGUCAUCCAUCGUUUACGCAACAAUUUUAUUGUUAGACAAAAAAACACUUGUAGAACUUUUCUAUGAUUAAAUAUUUUUUAUUAAAGAAAAAUAAUUUUUUCAAGUUCUUGAAAAUGCUAUUUGAAAAAAGAAAAAGUAUUUAAAACUCUUUAAAAAAAUUCAGUUGUAAAUAUUUCUUCAAAUCCGUUAGAAACUUGAUUAAUUUUACUGUCAGCAAAACAUGGAAUUAUAUCUGAUUUGAAUUUGAGCAGCUUAAGCCCUAAGCAUUACUGUUGGUUCUCCGAGACCCGAGCGAAGUUUUUGAAUUUUCAUUUCGAUGGGAGCCGUAAGCUUUCUGUAACCCAUGGGUGGGGGAAAAUAUAAUCUAUGUCGAGGGCUGUCAGCUCCCGAAAGGAUAACCUUAGUGCCUUCUUAUAGCCGCUAUAAGAAGGCACUAAUAUUAUCUUUUCGGGAACAGAAAAAAUGGAAAAUUUAGUUAAAUAUUCAUUAGCGAAUUUUAAUAGGCAGCGUUAGAUUUUCUGGAAGUGACGAGAACAUUAGAAAAGGAUGUAUGGGCUUAUUGUGCGCCAUACCUGCGGAACUCUAUUAAUUAUUAUGAACCCUGAAUCUGUUUUCUUUUUCGCUGUGAUAAUUAAUAAUCUUAUAGUUUUAUGUAGACUUUAACAAUAAAAACAGCUUUUGUAUGAAAAAAAA